AAAUAAAUAAAUAAUUUCUGCUAGGUACUUGAUGAUCAUGAGAGCUUUGUCCCUACCAUUUCUCCACUUGUUCAAAACUCUUCAAUAUUCAUGGCACCCCAACUGAUCCAAAAUUAUAUAACAAUUAAAACAACACAUAAAUCGACAUCUGUGCUCAUAGUUAGUCUAUGUAUUUGUAUAUGUACAUAAAUUAGUAUUUUUGCUUAUAGGUGGGAUAUGUAUUUGUAUAUACAUACGAAUUUGUAUGUGUGAGAAAGCAGAAAACAAGGAGAAAAGAGACACCAUCGAAGAAAUAGUGAAAGUGAAACAAUGAGCAGGAGGUUAAAUGGGCAUUGAGCUUUCAAAUCCUCAAGCACUUGCAAACCAGCUGGCUAGUGGAACUCAAAGUACCUAUUUCUCGGAAACUGGUACAUUUUCAAAGAUCAAGAGAACUUGAAGCUCUUAGAGAAGUGAGCAUGAUUCAAGUUCAUGUUAUAUUUGUGUCGUUAUCUUCAUUGGUUAAAUCUUCAGAUAUUCUGGGUGACGGGAGUUGAUUUCUUGUAUAUGUUAUCCAAUCUUCGAGGGUAUCUGAAUUUUUUUGUUCAUCCCUAUGUACAACAAUAAAACCCAUAAAUGCAAGCUUGAUAAGAUAGUUUUAAAAAAAAAAAAAUAUAUAUAUGAAUAGUAUUUGUAAAAGGAAAACUUCAAUGCGUUAAAUUAUAACUAUAACGGUGCAUUGCUGUAUAAAUUGGUGCGAGUUUUUUUAUUA